CACGUAGGGGGGCGAGCGUUGUCCGGAUUUAUUGGGCGUAAAGAGCUCGUAGGCGGCUCGGUAAGUCGGGUGUGAAAACUCUAGGCUCAACCUAGAGACGCCACCUGAUACUGCUGUGGCUAGAGUCCGGUAGGGGAGCAUGGAAUUCCUGGUGUAGCGGUGAAAUGCGCAGAUAUCAGGGAGGAACACCAGUGGCGAAGGCGGUGCUCUGGGCCGGUACUGACGCUGGAGGAGCGAAAGCGUGGGGAGCAAACAGG
rnacentral:rRNA from 1 species